rnacentral:lncRNA from 1 species
GUAUGGUUCAGUGUUUAGCAGUGGGUGCCUGUUUCUGCUUCAAUCAGCUACUGGAUGAAGGCUCUAGGAAUGGCAAUCAAGAUGUCUCUAACACUAGUCUCAUCAAACAUGUCUCCUGUUCUCUGCCAAAACUUUGGAAGAUGAAAUCUUCACAUUGUUCACUUUUUCUGAUUUUGUCUGCAAGCUCUGUGGAUUGAAGCCACUGACUUCCUAAAGGCUCCAUCUCCUCACCUGCAGUGGGUUGAGAAUUGUCCCUGUUUGUGAUGGUCUGCAUAACUGGCCUGGAAAAUGAAGCCCAAGGAAUUCCCAGUGAAAAAACCCUUUCAGUCUUGAGCUUGGGGCAAAUUUGAGUUGGGAAUGACAAUGAGUACUUGUCUUAGAAACCUAAAGAAGACCUGAGGUCUGCCUUUCAUUUUCUGGUGCAACGUGAAAGCAAUGCUACUUGUCUACUUAGUUGGAAUAAUUUCUACAUGAACAGCUUCCCUUGAGUUUCAGAAUUCUGAGAAAGGUGUCCAUUUGGACUCAGUCUGUCAGUCUAGAGGGUCCUGUCAUGUGACAUCAAGGCAUUGGUGAUGUUCAUCAACAGCUUUAAGGCACCAUUCAAAGCAUCUAUGAUUCUGUAGCUCCGAGUCCUUGACAAAAAAAUUGAGGAAAUGAUACAUAUAUGCAUACUAAAAAAGGAAGUGGGUAAUUUGAUUUUUUUUUCUAGUGGCUUAGCAAGGCAUUCUUACUACAUUAUUGACACAUCAUCUAUGCAAAUUAGGGGACUAAAGUGAUCAUAAAAGAAACAAGAAAAGCAAAAAACAAGGCAAAGAAUUUAGAUUCAAAAGGGGGAUGGUUUUUG